GUCAUCGCCUAAUUCACAUAAAAUUCCAUUUGCAUGUAAUUGUAAUGGACACUGUAGGAGAGAGGAAUAACGUCAUGGGAGAGACAAAAAUAUGGCAAGCCCCAAAGGACAAAAGGAUAUAAGGACAUCCAUCCCAUUAUUGACCUGAAUCACAUGUCCCCUCCUGUGAUGCUUGGUCAGGAUGGUCUACUACACUGCUGUGUCCCCGAGCCUGUGGACAGCUGAAUAUGGAAGAAUAUUUCUUUGUCUGGCAGAGAGGUUGACUCCCUUGAAUUUAAAGA